GUCCUACACACCUCCUCAAGGACCCC
rnacentral:piRNA from 1 species